rnacentral:rRNA from 1 species
AUUGAACGCUGGCGGAAUGCUUUACACAUGCAAGUCGAACGGCAGCACGGACUUCGGUCUGGUGGCGAGUGGCGAACGGGUGAGUAAUGUAUCGGAACGUGCCCAGUCGUGGGGGAUAACGUAGUGAAAAUUACGCUAAUACCGCAUACGAUCUAUGGAUGAAAGCGGGGGAUCGCAAGACCUCGCGCAAUCGGAGCGGCCGAUAUCAGAUUAGGUAGUUGGUGGGGUAAGGGCCCACCAAGCAAACGAUCUGUAGCUGGUCUGAGAGGACGAACAGCCACACUGGAACUGAGACACGGUCCAGACUCCUACGGGAGGCAGCAGUGGGGAAUUUUGGACAAUGGGCGAAAGCCUGAUCCAGCCAUUCCGCGUGCAGGAUGAAGGCCCUCGGGUUGUAAACUGCUUUUGUACAGAACGAAAAGGUUUCUACUAAUACUAGGAGCUCAUGACGGUACUGUAAGAAUAAGCACCGGCUAACUACGUGCCAGCAGCCGCCGUAA